UGACACAGAACGCAAGAAUGCUGCAGAGGAUUGUGGACACUUCCAAGGGAGGGGAAGUUUUUCCAGCCUAAGGGUCACAUUAACUUCUGUGUGACCUUCCAAGGUCCAUGUCUUGGUAAUGGGCAAGGCCAGAAGCAAAAAGAAGUGGGCAGCAGUACAAAUGUAAAUUUUAACUUUGUUCACUAGGCUAGUUUCUACACACCUUCUCUGCAUCUUUCGUUGAGACAAGCAGGGGGCAUAUCUCAGGGCUCAAAGACACAUUCCUACCGGGGAUGAGGAAACAUUUGGGAUACGAGACAGGGCCAGUGAGGGGGUGUGGGCUUUGGAGAGUUCUGGAGACCAGGAAGAGAGGCCUGGGCUUUUUCCACCCCUGUUCUGAUACAGCUCUAGUGAACUCAGGCCCAAUCUUGUAAUGAUGAAGUGUGUAUAAUAUCAUACCCUCCAACAUUUCUCUGAAGAAAAUAGGGACAUCAAUAUUAAUAAUAAUACCUUGUCCAACUGACUGGGUUGCCCCAGCCACUCUAGGCAGCUGCCAACACAUAUAAAAACAUAAUAAAGCAUUUAAAUAAGCUUCCCUAUACAGGUUGUAUAGUUACUCAUCUCCUUGGCUUGGGAACUGCAUAACUCCAUACUCUCUGACGAAAAUAGGAACAUCCUACCAUACCCUCCAACAUUUCUCCAAUGAAAAUAGGGAUAUCCUAAGGAAAAGCAGGACCCAAUCAGAAACUGGGAUGGCGUCUGUAAAUCCGGAACUGUCCCUGGAAAGCAGGGACACUUGAAGGGUCUGUAAUAUUCAAAGCUGAGUGAAGCACUGUAUGGAAGCUCCCUUCUGUUUGAGUAUACUCAGAGAGGCAAGAGAAGAUCAAAUAAUGAGGUCUAAAAGCAAGUAGACAGCAACAACAACAAAAACCACCUAUGGUGCUAAUCACAAAUAUUCCAGCACACUCCCAUGACUGAAAAGUUUAUGUACAAAGCAGCCGUUGUUUUCUGCGUGUGCUGACUCAAGCAGAGCCACAGUGGGGAAAUGAAAUAAGAAGCUAGAGUAACUGCUGUACACAGAAUAUUCAAUUUGAUAUUCCAUUAGAGCAGCCUUUCUCUAGGGGCCCAGCUUCAUCCUACUGAGGAGAAAGGUACAAAAAACAGUUAGUAUGGGAUUUACCUUAGCUAGACCCAAGAGACUUGAGUUAGGUAAUGAAUUAUUCCAACUGAAUUAAGAUUGAUUUGCUCAUUUACCAUCCUAAUACAGCAGCGGAUGUGGCUAGCUGGGGCUUGGGAUUUGUCGAGGGUCCCAGGUCUAAGAUAGAUCUUGUUAGUUUCCUAUUCUCUACUGACAAUCCAGUCUACGGAAAGGGAUAGAGCAGUGAAUGUCUCCAUUAUAAAUCAUCCUUAUUGAGUGACCACUUUUAUGGCAAGUAACCUAGCUCCACUAGAGAAGUUUCAUAUAACCAUUAAUAGCUUUUAUCGUUAGUUUAUAGGUUGACCCAAAGAGUCAUAAAAUGCCCCACAAGUUAAAUCAUGCAGUUAAUUAAAAAAAAAAGUAAAUAGCAAUCACCUUGGAAAUAAUUGGAAAAUCUUAACAUGAAAAAUAUGGCUUCCAAAAAUUAUGUACUUAUACCAUAAGUUUGUUACCAACUUAGCUAUAUAUACAUUUCGUAUUCCAGAACUAGACAUUGUAUUAGAUGCUAACAUUGCAUCAAAUAACAAUUGAUUUGUUGGCAUCCAUCUGACUCGGAAAUAAUUCAGCGUGACUCCGGGGCUGAACUCAAACUGCUGCAUUAUUGGUCUCUGCCACUAUUGGUCUUGUCCACUCAAUCUGCUGGAGCCAGUCUUCACAUGCAGGGCAGGUCCCUAACUCAUUGAGAGUUUGAGACCCCUCAGCUACCCUCACCUGGUUUAGCUGGCCAGUCAAAGCCAUUCCCAGGGUGUGGUCACAGGCGAGAGCUGAGUGCAGUUUAGGGAUCAAAGGUUGAACAAUCUACCCCAGACGAAGCAGGACGUGUCCCCCACCAGAGGUACCACCCUUCACUUAAAACCCCAUACACCCCUAUGAUUGGUUUACUAGAUGCAAAUUAUAUAAUACACAAGCAGUCUAAGAGGUCAUUCUGAACCUAAUAAACAGAUGCAGCUAUGAAAAUGUUAGCAGUGAAGUCUAAGAUGCUUUGAUGUUUCAAUCCUUAGUUGUGCAUAACACCCUUCUCACCCACAUUUCAGAUAGGCCUUCUCAGUAGUGGUUCCCCAUUUUUGGAAUGCCCUCCCUAGUCAGGUGUGUCUGUUUUGAUCAUAAGUGACUUUCAGGAGAAAUUUAAAAACAUUCCUGUUUACCCAGGCAACAUCAUGAAAUUAGCGCCUGUGGGGUAUGUGAUUGAUUUUAAAUGUUUUUAGAUGUUUAAAUGUUUUGAAAUGUUUUUUAAAGAAGGUUUUGUCAUUGUUUUUAAAAUGUUUUAGGUCUGUUUUUAUUUUAUUUCAAAUUGCAUUGUUUUACCUUAUUGAGUUUUGCUGCCCUUGGUUUCUUUGGUUGGAAGGAUGGGAUAGGAAUUUAAUUAAAUGAUUGAUGAUAAAAUCAGAUUUUUUUGCCAAAUUGAUUGCAAAUUGCAAGAGUGGUAUGGAAGGUCAGAUCUGAGCUCAGGACACCACCAAAAAUAAUAGGAUAUUCCUAUGCAUGUGUGUUUCAAGCACAUUACAUCAUGGAAACAAUCGGUGUGUAAGUUGCAAGCUGUGUAGUGCAAGUCAUCAUUGGCUUUCUGAUUUCUUUUGUCAGAUUCAGAUAGUAAAAUAAAACCAGAUUGUUUCAGAGGAACGUGGUAUUUGCCAAUUUCCAAAAGAAUUUAUCUGAUCUUCACCUCUUGGGCAGGAAUAUGGAAUUCAUCAGCUUUUGCACUUCUCCAAAUGUUGUUCAUGGUCCUCAGCAAUUUAAACAUGUCACAAUUGAUAUUUCCAUACAUAAUGUGAGAGGAAAUAACAGUUAAGUAUGCUUUAAAAUACUGUGUGUGUGUGUGUGUGUGUGUGUGUGUGUGUGUUCAUAUAUAAAUAUGAAUAAAGAAUAAAGAAUCGCAGAAUGCAUAAAUAAAGAAGAAUGGAAUUAUAGGUUUAAACAUGCAAACAUACUGUAUUAUGGACCACAAAGAGAGAGAUUAACCUAUGCCUAUGUUGUUGUUUGGAAAAUUAGGGUCAAGCAUUCCUUUAAGGCUGGUUUUGCACUUAUUAGCCAUCUUAUGAAGCUGCCUAUACAAGACAGCAAUGAAUGGCAUUCAUCACCAUCAUGGUAGUGAUUUAUAGAAUACCUAUUGUUCUCUAGCAAUUUACAUUAUGACCUUAUUCAAAUCUGUAUCUAUGGUUUAGAAGUGCUAAGUAUGCCAAGAUAUUAUAUAGCUUCGACAACAGAUGCUUAAACAUAAUUGUUCCCUAGAAAAGCUCUUCAACUUCUACUAACAACCUCGAUGCCCUUAUCUUUCUGAAAGAGAAUAAAUGCUCCAAUCUUUAAGAACUAAUGGAACAUUGGUCUGUCAACCUCCAUCUUUGCUGCUAUUUUCACACAAGACAGAAAUAACCCAUGCUUAAAAUAGUCCCUUAAUCUUAACUUUGUUUCCUAGCUGUAGAUUUAGGACCAAAACAGGGGGAAAUCAUGGAGCAUAGGUUUAUCAGUGACCAUGAUAACUAAUGCAGUUCUAGGUUUAGAGGCAGUGCACCUCUAAAGGCCAGUUGCUUGAGGUGGAGAAGUAGGGGAAGUGGGGCAAGUUAUCCCUUUGAUGCUCUGAUUGUGAGCUUCCCAAAAAGGAAGGAGGAGAGGACAGAGCAUGAAGAAAGUGUUGUCAGUGGAGAGGGGCUCUUUCCCCAUCUGGACCCUCUGAGAAACUCAACAAACUUGCUGCACCAGAACUGGGUCUGGAGAGUGCAGCUGAAUGGGACACAGCUGUGGGCUGCCUGAGGAGGUGCCAUCCACUCAACCACUCACUGGGUGACCUUGGGCCAGUCACUCACACUCACUCUUGCCUACCUCAGAGCGUUGUUUUAAUGAUGAAAAGGAAGGGAAUGGCCUUGGAGUAAAGGUGGGCUACACAUGUACCAAAUAAAUACUUUUUUUGGUAGCAGGUCUAUCAUAAAGUGACGCUAUGAUCACACCAUAUAUGCAACACUGAAUGGGAUCGUUAAAGAGGGCAGAGCUUUGUUAUUACACUUUUAGAGAUCUCAUAAAAUCUUUCCAGGUAUCUCUAGCCAGAUGUUUGUCUCGCAUUACCUAUAAAGCUAAAGUAAUUUACUGCACUGUCAAUUUGUUUGAUGCUGCAGGCAGAAGUCAUUGGGAUUUUAUGAGUUGCUUUUUCUUCUUGAUAGUCGCCAUGCCCAAAAUAAAGCUUCCCUCAAAGGUUAAUACAUGACUGAGCAUCUCCCAUUAACUAUAUUCAUUAUUAAUUGAGCUUUACUCAGAAAUAAAAAGGCUGAUGGGAAAGAUAUGGAAAGCAGGUAUGGACCAAGUUAAAUGCUUUGUUGUCCAGCUCAACAUCUGAACAUCAACUUAAGACUUGAUCAUUGAUUGCUGCCAAUUUGUGUUUAAAGUGUCUUUGCUUUUAAGCUGCUUUAUUGUGUAUUUUUAUAUUUUGUUUUAUAUCACAUAUUUUCUCAUGUGAGCAACCUUGUAUUCCUAUCUUGGAGGAAGGGUGGAGCAUAAAAGCUAUGUAACAGAUAAUGAGAUAUUUCUCAGUAAUUAAGACAGACAAACUCAUAGCAAGCUGAAAAUAUUGUUUCUUAUUUCUGAAAAUACUCUACAGUAUUUUCUUAAGCAACACAAUUAUUGGGAUAUCAGUGAAAAUCUGUUACUUGAACAGAAUCUGAACUAUCAUCUUUUAGAUUAUAAGCAUGCACUUUUUCUGCUUGAACCAUUUAUUUCAGAGAUGGGUAACCUGUGACCAUCAAAAUGAUACUGGCUGGGGCUUAUGGGAAUUGGAACUCAACAUCACCUGGAGGACCACAGGUUCCCCAUCCCUGAUUUGCAUAACGGCUUGGCAUACAUUUCCUCUUCUGCGAAUCAUUGCAAUACUUUUCUGCAGACUGGAAUAGCAGUUGGGUCCAUGCAGCUAUCCUGGUAAUAUCUGUUCUUUAGCAAAUAUGAGGGGGAAAUGACAUGAUCAGUAUCCAGACUGCAGCUCUACAGCCAUUAAAAGGAGCUAACAAACAGGUAUUAGAAUCUGAUGUAUCUGUACAUAUAAUUUAUAUGUAUUAUAGGAAAAUCAGCAACUGACAGGUUGCAAAAGAUGCUGCAUGUACACUGACUGUUCCUUUGUUUUCAUCAAAUGGGCUUUGAAACUGAGAGAAAACAGCCUAGCAUCAGAAGAUUUUAUGUGUGAAAUACCUCUUAUUAAGUUGUCUACAGAGCAUACAGAAUGCAGAAUAAGUGCAAUAUUUGACAAGAAAGAAUAUGUGUUAAAUAACAUAGUCUGACUGAUGUUUAACACAAAAUGGAAAUGCUAUUUCCGCAUAGUGCAGACAGUUGAUAAGAAAAUGUUCCUGUAAACACUUUCUGCAGUCUUUUAUAUAUUCACUAUGACUUCUCUGCAAUCCAGUUAUUGCCAGCAAGGGGGGGGGGGAGGGGUGUGUGGACUCCUACAAAUUCAUUACCAUUUUAAAAAUCCAAUUGGUAAAAGUUCUCGUGAGAAAUAUAGUUAAGGUUGCAGAAGCAUGCAUAUAUCAACAGCCAAAGAAACUGCAAAAGCUGGUGACAUGACAUGACAAUCUGUAACUGUGCCAUAUGAUAAAAUACAAUGAAGGGUGGCUACAAACAUCAGAGGGAGAAAAGAACCUAGUUAUG
rnacentral:lncRNA from 1 species